ACUGUUUAUCAAAAACACAGGUCUGUGCUAAAAUGUAAAUUGAUGUAUACGGACUGACACCUGCCCGGUGCUGGAAGGUUAAGGAAGUGGGUUAUCCCUCGGGAGAAGCUCGCGACUGAAGCCCCAGUGAACGGCGGCCGUAACUAUAAGAUGGACGCUGUAGUUACGUUAAUAAAUCUGGCCAAAUGCUGGAAAGCCCGGUGUAUCCUGAAGUACUCGUUGCUAUCCUAAAAAAAGCAACAGUGACAAUCUGAGGGUGCGGGUAAUCAGCAGGAAAGGCUCAAGUCGGAGAAUGUCGCGUGCUUAAUGUCAAGAAUAUUCCCCCAAACAUUGGAUACUAUUUUGCAGGAUUUACAGAUGGCGAAGGAAGCUUCAACGUGUCCUUCCGCCCAAGAAAAGAUUAUAAAAUCCCGUGGAAGGUUUCCUUAUGUUUCAACGUUUCUCAACGUGAUCGAGUGAUAUUGUCCUUAUUUAAGAGGCAUCUUGGUUGCGGCACAAUGAGACAACGUGAGGAUGGUGUCUGGUACUACGAAGUAAAUAACUUCCAAUCUAUUUUGGAUAACGUAAUACCCUUUUUCAAACACUUUUCUUUUCUAUCUGCCAAGAAAAA
rnacentral:rRNA from 1 species